rnacentral:rRNA from 1 species
ACGGCUCAUUAACACGUGGUUAACAUACCCUCAGGUGGGGGAUAACCUUGGGAAACUGAGGAUAAUACCCCAUAGAAAAAGCAGUCUGGAACGAUUCUUUUUCGAAAGCAUAUGCGCCUGAGGAUUGGACUGCGCUCGAUUAGGUAGUUGGUGGGGUAAUGGCCCACCAAGCCUACGAUCGGUACGGGCCUUGAGAGAGGAAGCCCGGAGACGGGGACUGAGACACGGCCCCAGGCCCUACGGGGCGCAGCAGGCGCGAAACCUCCGCAAUGCACGAAAGUGCGACGGGGGGAUCCCAAGUGCUCAUGCACAGCAUGGGCUUUUAUCAAGUGUAAACAGCUUGAGGAAUAAGGGCUGGGCAAGUUCGGUGCCAGCAGCCGCGGUAACACCGACGGCCCGAGUGGUGGCCACUUUUAUUGGGCCUAAAGCGUCCGUAGCCGGUCCAGUAAGUCCUUGUUUAAAUCCUGCGGCUUAACCGCAGGACUGGCAGGGAUACUGCUGGACUUGGGACCGGGAGAGGACAAGGGUACUUCAGGGGUAGCGGUGAAAUGUGUUGAUCCUUGAAGGACCACCUAUGGCGAAGGCACUUGUCUGGAACGG